rnacentral:rRNA from 1 species
UACGUAGGGUGCGAGCGUUAAUCGGAAUUACUGGGCGUAAAGCGUGCGCAGGCGGCGCGUUAAGACAGGUGUGAAAGCCCCGAGCUUAACUUGGGAAUUGCGCUUGUGACUGGCGUGCUGGAGUGUGGCAGAGGGAGGUGGAAUUCCACGCGUAGCAGUGAAAUGCGUAGAGAUGUGGAGGAACACCGAUGGCGAAGGCAGCCUCCUGGGCCAGCACUGACGCUCAUGCACGAAAGCGUGGGGAGCAAACGGG